GAUGAACGCUGGCGGCGUGCCUAAUACAUGCAAGUCGAGCGAACGGACGAGAAGCUUGCUCCUCUGAUGUUAGCGGCGGACGGGUGAGUAACACGUGGAUAACAUACCUAUAAGACUGGGAUAACUUCGGGAAACCGUAGCUAAUACCGGAUAAUAUUUUGUACCGCAUGGUUCAAAAGUGAAAGACGGUCUUGCUGUCACUUAUAGAUGGAUCCGCGCUGCAUUAGCUAGUUGGUAAGGUAACGGCUUACCAAGGCAACGAUGCAUAGCCGACCUGAGAGGAUGAUCGGCCACACUGGAACUGAGACACGGUCCAGACUCCUACGGGAGGCAGCAGUAGGGAAUCUUCCACAAUGGGCGAAAGCCUGACGGAGCAACGCCGCGUGAGUGAUGAAGGUCUUCGGAUCGUAAAACUCUGUUAUUAGGGAAGAACAUAUGUGUAAGUAACUGUGCACAUCUUGACGGUACCUAAUCAGAAAGCCACGGCUAACUUCGUG
rnacentral:rRNA from 1 species